rfam:Oryza sativa Japonica Group DNA, chromosome 12, cultivar: Nipponbare, complete sequence.
AAUAAGUGCAAUUCUGUAUUAUUCAUGUCUAAUGUUUGAUCGUUCGUUUUAUUUGAAAAUUUUUAUGAUUAGUAUUUUUGUUGUUAUUAGAUGAUAAAACAUGAAUAGUACUUUAUGUAUGACUAAUUUUUUAAUUUUUUUAUAAACUUUUUAAAUAAGACGGAUGGUUAAAUGUUGAACAUGAAUAUCCACAGCUGCAUAUUUA